CAGUAGCCACGGUAAAACGAGGGGAGCUAGCGUUAUUCGGAAUUACUGGGCGUAAAGCGCACGUAGGCGGCUUUGUAAGUUAGAGGUGAAAGCCCAGAGCUCAACUCUGGAAUUGCCUUUAAGACUGCAUCGCUAGAAUCCAGGAGAGGUGAGUGGAAUUCCGAGUGUAGAGGUGAAAUUCGUAGAUAUUCGGAAGAACACCAGUGGCGAAGGCGGCUCACUGGACUGGUAUUGACGCUGAGGUGCGAAAGCGUGGGGAGCAAACAGGAUUAGAUACCCCCGUAGUCCCUGUCUCUUAUAA
rnacentral:rRNA from 1 species